UCGUGGACUGAUUUGUCUGGUUGAUUCCGAUAACGAGCGAGAUCUUAACCUGCUAAAUAGACCGCCGAAGUCUGCUUCGGUAGCGUCUUCUUAGAGGGACAUUGCGUUUCAACGCAAGGAAGUUUGAGGCAAUAACA
rnacentral:rRNA from 1 species